rnacentral:rRNA from 1 species
CACGUAGGGUGCGAGCGUUGUCCGGAAUUAUUGGGCGUAAAGAGCUCGUAGGCGGUGUGUCGCGUCGGCCGUGAAAACCUGCAGCUUAACUGUGGGCUUGCGGUCGAUACGGGCAUCACUGGAGUUCGGCAGGGGAGACUGGAAUUCCUGGUGUAGCGGUGAAAUGCGUAGAUAUCGGGAGGAAUACCGAUGGCGAAGGCAGGUCUCUGGGCUGACACUGACGCUCAUGCACGAAAGCGUGGGGAGCAAACAGG